rnacentral:lncRNA from 11 species
GGUAAUUCAUUAUCAUGUAAAAAGGUUUCAGUUUUACGUUCGUUAAAUAAAUAAUUAUGCCAGAUGUUCGUGUCUCGUUCGUAUUCGACGAAGAAAAGAGAAAUAUACUUUCUUCGAUAAUUGAUCAAUAAUCAGCUAGACUUUUAUUUGAAAACAUACCACGACGCCAGAAAUUGCAACGAAUCCAUGAUCCAGCCAAAGCCAGCCAUCGAGCCUCUCCUACGCCUCCUUCCACACCACUUUUCCAAAGAUACUAUCGUCGAACGUUUAAGUGAAAGCUCUAGAACCACACAGACUACGCGUGAACGCGCGUUCCGCACAGGUAUUUUAACCUCACCAACUAUCCUCAAAUUUCGUAUGUUUUCACGCUGAAUAAACAGAGAAAAUAAAUCGAGAUCGAUCAACGAAAUAUUUUAUCGCAAGGAAUAUAGAAAAGCGGAGAAACACGGGGCAACUACACGUGACGAAGAAUGAUAGAUAUAGUUAGGUUAUCACUCGCUAACUGUAACCGAAUUUCACGUAUUCCCGACGCGCUCCCAAGAAACAGACGAAGAAGAAAGAUUUAAUCGAGAGAAGAAAUAUUUAAUUGCAAAGAAAUAUGAAAACUCGUAGGAACUACGUACAACGAAGAAACGUGAAUUUUACAGAUAAAUCGAGAUCCAGAGGAAUAACACGCCGUACGAGAAAAAGAUACAGAGAUAUAGAGAAUGAAAACACCACACGAUGAAGAAACGUGGAUUUUAAGGAGGAUAUGGUAUAUGGUUAGAACUAUGACUAAGAGAAACGCGGUUGCAAGCGAGAGUGCAGGGAACAUGCUGUUUCAUGCACGAACCGGCACGAUGGUGCUCGUCACACGUAGCGACGUGGAUUUUUGUGAGUGCUACACAUGCACGAAGAGACAAGAGCGAACGGAUCGAGGGAAAAUGGAACGAGGGAAUGCAAUUUGAGACUGUUAAAAUGUCAGCGAUUUUUGCGACUGGACAGGAAAUGUUUAUUAACGGCCGUUGCCGGCACCACGUUUUACGCAGUCGGAUUUCGUUUCGCUGAAAUACGGCUGUUUGGAAAACCGAUAAUGCGUGUAAAAAUGUUCGUGUCACCGAGAGGUGGUGCGAAAGAAGCUGCCGGCAUUCGAUACGGGCGUAGUGUGUGACACGCCAGCUCUGGCUUACGAAUGGCAAGUCACCGUUGAGUCUCACUAACGAACAGUUAAUUUCGCCUAGUAUCACGCUCUUUCCUUUGUUCAACGUGACAGAGUCAGUUCGUAGUAGCGCGAGCAAUUUUAUAAUACGUUUUUGUGCUACUUGAUCGAAACGAUGUCCAAUCAAUACUCCAGUCAAAGGGCAGAGUAGCUCCUGACCAUUUCCGCAAGUGGUGAUACUAUAAGAAAGCAAACUUGACGAUAAGAAGAAACGUAAUAUUAGAUCGUCUAUGCAACGUAUUCGAUAGAUGAAACUAAGUGAAAAUUGUUUAAAAGCAAUAGGAUACUACAGAAGACCAGCAUGAUCGCAUGAAAUGGUUAAAUCUAUUCUGAUACUUUUAUUAGUGUGAAACGUAAUUUUGCAGAACACAUCAAAACAUUUUCACGAAAAAGCAGAAUAUUGUAAAAGUCGUACACGAUCAUAAAAAACGCCUGUCGUGAUAAAUGCGUAAAUAUUGAAUAAUACAGCAGACAUACGUACUACAUGAAAACGAAACCAAAUCACAGGGACACUAUACUACCACAUAGUCAGUCCGGCUCUGUUACCAUCGAUAUACCAUAGCUCUUUCCGUAUCAUCGGACAGUAAAAACGUAUCAGCACGCUCUAUUUGUUUGUUCGUUUCAGUCAAGUAUUUGUAUCCAUAUCUCGCCUUGAGACGAGAGUAGACGUUCUUAAAUCAUUCGAGGGCGAGACACGAUCGCGAUGCAUUAAUCUAAAAAACUGAUGAACCACGAUACAACAGUAUCUGGCUUUCUCCUCCCAUUUCUCCUCCUGUGAACUUUGCGAUAGAAACAAAAGGAUUAACCUCGACCGAUAGAAUCGUCCGGGGUAAUUGCUCGUUGGAGCGACAAAAUGUUAGCUAGAAACACGAAUACUUCUAUCGAUGGAGAAGAGAACGCUGGAACAGUUGACCUGUUUCGAGUAGUUGCUCUGUAUACGAUACACGACACACACGCGUCGCCCAUUGUACGGUUAGCGAGCGCGAAUACAUUAUUACUUGCUAUUAUCGCCGUUACCGAAUGUUUCACAUUGUUUUCCAUUCUUCAACGAUUUCUCAACAUCGUUCGAAUGCAGUCGAGGUGGAAAAAUAUUCAGUCGAGAACGUUUUACGGUUUCUACAAAUUUAUUAGCGAGGCUUUAUUAUCUUUCGUUUGACAAAUUGCGUUGAUAAGUGCACUUCGCAGCGUGGCUCGAACAAUUCUCUUGAUUCUUUGAAAGGUUUACGAUACCUCCAUCGCGCCUUGAUUUUCUCGAACGUGUAUACAUUUUUAUAUUUUACGUCCAAUAGUUUACGAUCUGCGUUCUGCUGUUCUUAUCAUCUGGGUUAUUCAGCGACCAAUAUUUCUGGUAACAAUGAAAUGCUUCUUACGAGAUUUUGUAUAUUAUUGUUAUUUGAUAAUUGUAUUAUUUCUUUUUUUUUGGUCAUCCUUAUGAUAUAUAAACUUUGUGAAAAUGAAACAGCUUUGUGAAACAGCCAAGAUUUCUAUCACCAGGUUUUUGUCAAUUAAUUUAUACAUAGUAUUAAUUUAUAUAUAUAGAUCUGGCUCUCGCAAUUGUAUAAAUAUUGUAUAGCAAUUUUCAAAUUAUAUAUAUAUAUAGAUAUAGAUAUAGAUAUAGAUAUAGGUAGUUCUUAAUUUGAAAAUUGCUGUUUACCCUGAUUUAAUUUAAAUUUGUAUAAUUGCAAGAGGAAGCAUAUCAUUUCAGUUAAACAUCAACGAAGAUUCGAUUAACGAUCUUCAUUUCAAAAUGUUAUUUAUCUCGAAAUAACAUAUAUUAAGUAAUAAUCUAAUGGUAAAGCGGAUUAUAUCUGAAAUUCUGCAAAGGUUUUAAUUAAAGAGAUUAUUGAAUUUCUGUCGAGUAAAAUCUGUCUCAUUACGAGAAUAUUUAAUCUACCGAAAUUUCAGAUUCCUCGACAAGAGAGAGAAAUUUCGAUAGACAUGUUCCACGAGUAGAAAGUUCUUGGAAAAAAAGGAGAAACAUGUUCGUUUCGAUUGAAACCGAGACUGUUCGUCCUCGGAACUAGGACACGAUUCCUCUGCUAAUUUGAAAGCACUUUAUUAAUUUAUCAGCGGCUGAAUUUUCUUGAAAAACCAGAUGAUACUUCGUUCAAGCGAAUUUUUUAGAAUUUUAAUUACGGAGACGCAGGCGAUUUCGGAUAAAACGUUUUUUCAAAAGCUUCCCUUUGCCCACCUAACGUUCACCACGAUCGUGAAAUUCCGUGUUUCGUGUUGUAAAUUGCUUGGAGAUAAUUAUCUUAGAAUAUUCGCGCGGUCGAACGUGUACUGUAAAUUAACGCGAAGAGAGACAACGAGGAAAAAGGAAGAGAAAUUUGAGGUGCAUAGGCCGUGAUAGUGUAGUUGCGGGUGUAGAUGUCACUACUGGGGUAUUAUUGC